GAUGAACGCUGGCGGCGUGCCUAAUACAUGCAAGUCGAGCGAACAGAUGAGGAGCUUGCUCCUCUGACGUUAGCGGCGGACGGGUGAGUAACACGUGGAUAACCUACCUAUAAGACUGGGAUAACUUCGGGAAACCGGAGCUAAUACCGGAUAAUAUAUUGAACCGCAUGGUUCAAUAGUGAAAGACGGUUUUGCUGUCACUUAUAGAUGGAUCCGAGCCGCAUUGGCUAGUUGGUAGCGUAACGGCUUACCAAGGCGACGAUGCGUAGCCGACGUGAGAGCGGGAUCGGCCCCUGUGGAGCUGAGAGGCGAUACAGGCACCGACGUGAGGCAGCAGUAGGGAAUGUUGCGAAAUGGGCGGAAGCCUGACGGAGCAGCGGAGCGUGAGUGAUGAAGGGCUGCGGAUCGUAAAACGCUGUUCUUAGGGAAAAACAAAUGUGUAAGUAACGAUGCACGUCUUGACGGUACCGAUACAGAAAGCCACGGCUAACUACGU
rnacentral:rRNA from 1 species